rnacentral:rRNA from 1 species
UAGGGAAUAUUGGACAAUGGGGGCAACCCUGAUCCAGCCAUGCCGCGUGAGUGAAGAAGGCCCUCGGGUUGUAAAGCUCUUUUGUCCGGAAAGAAAAGCUUCGGGUUAAUACCCCGGGGUUCUGACGGUACCGGAAGAAUAAGCACCGGCUAACUUCGUGCCAGCAGCCGCGGUAAUACGAAGGGUGCAAGCGUUACUCGGAAUUACUGGGCGUAAAGCGUGCGUAGGUGGUUGUUUAAGUCUGAUGUGAAAGCCCUGGGCUCAACCUGGGAAUGGCAUUGGAAACUGGGCAGCUAGAGUGCGGUAGAGGGUAGUGGAAUUCCCGGUGUAGCAGUGAAAUGCGUAGAGAUCGGGAGGAACAUCUGUGGCGAAGGCGACUGCCUGGACCAGCACUGACACUGAGGCACGAAAGCGUGGG